AUUAGAGGCACUGCCUGCCCAGUGACACACGUUUAACGGCCGCGGUACCCUGACCGUGCAAAGGUAGCAUAAUCACUUGUUCUUUAAAUAGGGACUCGUAUGAAUGGCACCACGAGGGUUUAACUGUCUCUUACUUUCAACCAGUGAAAUUGACCUGUCCGUGAAGAGACGGACAUGAAGCAAUAAGACGAGAAGACCCUGUGGAGCUUCAAUUUAUUAGUACAACUAAAAACCGUACAAACCAACAGGUCCUAAACCCCUACAUCUGUACUAAAAAUUUUGGUUGGGGCGACCUCGGAGCACAACUAAACCUCCGAAUAAUCCACGCUAAGACUAUACAAGUCAAAGCAAACUGACACUUACAAUUGACCCAAUAAUUUGAUCAACGGAACAAGUUACCCCAGGGAUAACAGCGCAAUUCUAUUCUAGAGUCCAUAUCAACAAUAGAGUUUACGACCUCGAUGUUGGAUCAGGACAUCCUAAUGGUGCAGCAGCUAUCAAGGGUUCGUUUGUUCAACG
rnacentral:rRNA from 1 species